ACACGCUGGCGGCGUGCUUAACACAUGCAAGUCGAACGGUGACGAGGAGCUUGCUCCUCUGAUCAGUGGCGAACGGGUGAGUAACACGUGAGCAACCUGCCCCAGACUCUGGGAUAACAGUUGGAAACAGCUGCUAAUACCGGAUACGAGACGGAGAGGCAUCUCUACCGUCUGGAAAGUUUUUCGGUCUGGGAUGGACUCGCGGCCUAUCAGCUAGUUGGUGAGGUAAUGGCUCACCGAGGCGACGACGGGUAGCCGGCCUGAGAGGGCGACCGGCCACACUGGGACUGAGACACGGCCCAGGCUCCUACGGGAGGCAGCAGUGGGGAAUAUUGCACAAUGGGCGAAAGCCUGAUGCAGCGACGCCGCGUGAGGGAUGAAGGCCUUCGGGUUGUAAACCUCUUUCAGCAGGGAAGAAGCGAAAGUGACGGUACCUGCAGAAGAAGCACCGGCUAACUACGUG
rnacentral:rRNA from 1 species